AUGCUGCCUCCCAGGUCCCUAGGGACACCUUCUCUCUGACUGGGCCUUCCCUAUUCAGACUGGAACUGAGUUCACAGUGCUCCUCUGGAUGGUGAAUCAGUGCUCGGUCAUCCUCUAGUGGGCCAGUGAUAAAGCCAGGUUGAUAAUGAUGAGCCUGACCCCAUUGAUUUCAUGCUUUGUCCCACCACCCAUCAGUCAUUUUGCUGAGUUCUUAGCAAUUCAGGCAAACAGCAGAUGGCCUCUACCUUCCUUUUCUAGUUUUCUCAUCCUUUAUGGAUCCUCUGCUCUAGCCCAGCUAGUCUACUUAUCUUCUAAUACAAUUGAUACUGCCUCAGGCUCACACUUCGGGUCAAACCCUGGUCACCUGAAAGGUCUCCUUUGCUCGUUUUUUCCUUGCUAUCUCUUUUCUACCACCCCUCCACUUGCAUGCACCCUUCUUACUAAAUUACACAAGCAAUUCCUCCUCAUCCUUCUAGACUCAUCUCUCAUUUUCUCUCUUCCUGAAAGCCUUUCCUAACACUCCCAGUCUACGUCAGGAGGCCCCCUAUGCAGCCUCACUAUACCUUGGCCUUUCUAUCCUGACACUUCUCUACUGAGCUAUGUUCAUUUUGCUUUGUUGUUUCCCAUGCUAGACAGUGAGCACUUUGAGGCUAGAAUAAUGUUUAAGUUUACGUCCCUAAUACCCAGCACAGUCUCAUUCUGUUUUUUGAGGUAAAAACAAUAUAACCCGAAAUCUAUCUUAACAAAAUUUUAAGUGUACAAUGCAGUAUUAUAAACUAUAUGCACAUUGCUGAACAGAAGAUCUCUAGCAUUUUGUCAUCUUACAUGACUGAACUGGCAUUGUUUCUGAAUAAAUAAAUGACUACUUGAUUAUCUUUAGCCAUCUGAAAUCCCAACAAGAUCUCAGAAUUUUAUUAAAUUUUAUCCCUCUUACAUUACAAGGAUCUUCCCCUUCCUUGUGAAUUUCUAGAUUAUUACACUCUUUUCCUUUAAUCUGUCUUGCUCCCCUCCCCCACCUUUUUUUGAGCUCUGACUCAUUGUGUGUCUUGGCAUUUACCUCUUUGUAUUUUUAUGGUUCCUUCCCCCCAGACAUGUUUGUAUGGUUGUAAAUCCAUGAUUGUGUUCUCCAAUGUCUCUCAUAGUGACCAGCAUAUAGAAGGUACUCAAUAACUAACUGGUAAUUUCCUUUGAAGAUUUCAAUAGAUUUAAAAUAUGACCUUACUUUUGGGUAUAGGAUGAGGGUGAUGAAAGACUUAACUCAGAUUUCAUGGCUACUGGGUGAUCGAAUUCCUUUCUUUGAAUUUAGUGUUAAGCUUUGGAUAAGAAGUGCAUUUUUUUCCAGUUGACAUACCCACCAUCUGAGUCUCUUUGAUUUUCCUGGUUGCCAUUUAUGGUGUGUAAGGACUUUUCAUCUUUUUUGGCUAAGUCAGUUUCUAAAAGUCAGGAAACUAAGUAUUAGUUAAUUGCAAAGAUUAAAAUAACUGAAUCAUCUCGAUAAGUUCAUAAGCAGAGAUAUCUGAACUCUGCAAAGGUCUGAUUAUUGUCAAUACUCUGACCAUGUAUAUAUACACACAUAUACACAUGCUUUGACCUUUAUUAAAAAAAAAAACAGCAUAAAAUCAGGUCACUUUCUUUCAUGAAACCCUCCAUAAUGCAAGUGUUAUGGGAAAUUUAGAACUAUCAGUCAAGAGAGUAAACUUUAAAAUGACUGUUUGGUCGUUCCUUUCCAUGAAAGCACUUUGCAGCUCUAGAUUGCCACAUGCAGGAAGUUGUACAAAUGGCCUCUAACUUCUGAGAGUGAAAGAGUUCAAGUUAAAACCAGUUGCUCUCUGGGCUUCUGAGCCCACCCCUCCUCCUCCUCCGUGCUGCACUGGGGCUUUGCUUGGUUUGGCCCAUCGCCGGCAACUUGACCACCUGCCCAAAUUGCGUCUGAAUUCCCAAAGCCCACCCUCUGCCCAUAUAACCCUUUUUCUCCCAGUCUCCCUGCCCUUCCUACCACUGCUGGUAUUUUGGCCUCAUUAAACCCUUUCUGUUCAGGACCAAGAGCGGUCCUGUCUCCUGCCAGGUUCUUUUUACCAGUGAAUCCAUUCUGAGAGGUGAGCAACUGUUUUAAUUGGGUGGCAUCUGUACCAUAUUGGUUGUUAAAUAUUUCCAUAUCACCCUGCCUUUUAUUUCUAUUUAUUACUCCCUUCUUUAUCUAAAUUAGACCCUUGUAGUCCAUUACUUUAUCAGUUUUCUUGCAAUUAUCUCCAAUUUCUUUGCCUCACCUCCCUCCUUCUCAAAUGCUAUGUAACAAAACUAUACUCAUUUUUUAUUCCCAUAUUCAAUGCCAAUAACCAAAUCACCUUAGGCCCCAUAGAGUGACAGUAAAACAAGCACACACAAAAACAUGUAUGAGAAAAAUAAAUAGUUGGGGGAGAUAAUUUGGUAUUCUAAAUAAGAUCAUCAUGGAAAUACUCAGCAUUUUGUUGGAAUACAGUGUAGUGUUAUUUUUAUUCUAAUUGCAUUUGUUCUAAUUUCAGGGGUGGCAAUACACUCAAAUACUUCCGGGCUUACUACAAACCAUGCAUCUAGGUUCCCACUUUUGCUUUUAGGCAGCUGAGCACCUCUGCAGGAAAUAACAAAACUCUACCUGGGAGUCACUACAAAUUCAGUCUCUAACUUCCACUGAGCCCCUAGCUCUGAAAAAUAAAUGUUUUUUUUUCUGUUGUCCUUCUUUCCUUUUGUCUUCAAAGUUGUUUCAGACCUUCACCUCUUUCCCUACGACACUAGCCUUUUCUCUAGUCGUUGACCUUUGGGACCUGGUCUUGCUGCCUAGUUGUUCUGAAUCCUUCCAUUCUACACACUUCCUUAUACCCACAGCCAUCAUCUCUUUCUCUUGGGCCUCAGCAGUGGAGACACCUUCUGCUGGAGGCUGAUCUUGGGCUCUGGUUUGUUUUCCACUGCUGUCCUGAGGAUCUUCCUCCUCAGCCCACUCCAUUUUCAUCCUCUUCCUCUCCAAUUGUAGUUAAACGUUAACACCCAUUCAUCCAGCUGUCUAUCUACCUAUUUAUACUUUUGAAUGUCUGAAACAUGCACAUGGAACAAAAUUCAAAAGGUAUGAGAAAUCAUGCAGUGAAGUCUUCCUUGCCCAGAGGAUCACCAUGGUUAUCAGCUUUUAAUAACUGAUGACUCCAUAUCCUCAUCUCCAGCCCAUACCUCUUUCCUGGCCUCCAGAGACAUGUGUCAUCACCCCUCAGACAUUCUCACUUAGAUGAUAGUACUUCCUUGUGAGUUUAUGGUUACAGAAAAUGCCAGUAAGAAAAAUGAGCUUUUAAAUUUAUUUAAAAGUAAAUGUAGUAUUGUGGGUUGAACUGUGUCCCCAAAAAGAUAUGCUGAAGUUCUAAUUCCUGGUAACUUUGAAUAUGACCUAAUUUGGAAAUAGUGUUUCAGCAGAUAUAAUCAAGUUAAAAUGGGGUCAUACUAGCUCUAAAUUCAAUGACUGGUGUCCUUAUAAGGAAAGGGGGACUUGAAAACAUAGACACACACACAUACAUACACACACACAUAUAUAUAUAUGUAUAUAUUAACACACACACUAGAAGAGGGAGGGGAAGGUUCUUCCCUAGGCCCUUCAGUGGCAGCAUAGCCCUGGAAACACCUUGAUUUAGGUGUUCUAUUGUCCAGUCCAUGAGAGAAUAAAUUUUUGUUUUAAAACAUCCAGUUUGUGGUAAUUUGUUAUGAUAGCCUUAGGAAACAAAUACAUAUGGUGCACACCAAACUUAAAAGGUCAUGGUGUUUUUAAGAUGUGCUUUCUCUAGCACUCUUAUGAAAUGCUUAAUUUCACAGGGUACACUGAACCUGGCAAUUUAUUUUGUCAAAAAUUCAAGUGUUAAAAUAUGGAUUAUAGUUAUCUGUAUUAAGUAGUGACUCAGUUUUAACAAAUAUUUCAAUACUCUUUCACUAGCAGCCCAAUAAAACAUCACAUCUAAAAGUUUACCUGAUUGAUAUGGCUGAAAACUUAUCAAAUCUCCAAGAGCAACAAGUUUUUCCUGUUGAAAAAUUUUAUAAUCAGAGAAUUAAAUGGCCACAAUGACUAACUUAAUUGUUCUUUAACAAAAAAACACUUAUUCUUAAUUUUUAAGUAACCAACAAAUAUUUUUUAACAUACCAGAAAUUAUAUAAAAUAAUGAGUAGUGUUCUUUUGCUGAUUUUUUCAAACUUUUAUUGCCUCCUUACUGUUUUUAGGAAUAUGAUGAAAACUGAACCCACAGAAAAUCACUGUCAUUAUCAAAGUCAGUUCCCUUGUAUCUAUUCUGACAUUACCUGAAGUAGAUCACUUGUUAUUCUGGUCAUUAUUUUUUCAUUUAUUUUGGUAUCUUUGAGAUCUGUAAGAACCACCCAAGUUCCAUUCUCAAACUUCACAGGCAUAGAAAAGACGAUCCCUUCAGGAAUCCCAAAUUGGCCUGUAGUGAGUGAUCCAAGCACAGCCAAACACAAGCACUGUUAGGCAUUGUAGACAAGGACAGGCAGCGUACAUGAUUUUUAAUGAAAAUGGUGGUAUCACAUUUCUGGGAAUUCCUUCCCAGGGUGGCCUGAAACACCUACCCUAGAAGUAUUGAUUGGGCACCUCUCCAAGUUCUGACCAUUCCCCUUCUGUGUGCCUCUCAGCAGAAAGAACCACAACUCUGUUUUUUUAUACCUUUUGGUCUAGCACUUCAGAUCCUCUGCCUCUGCCUUGGGGGCUCAUGUUGUCUUUCUCUUCUGCCUUGUCUGGAUUCCUUUAGUCUUGCUUUCUGGGGCUUUUCCUUGUCCCUCUAGGUACCCAUGAGCCCCAGGCAUUUGUCCAAUCUCCUAGCUUACCAUAGCAGUCCCACAGCUAGCAUGGGAUGACAGGGCUUGGAAAAAGAGGGCGGGAAAUUUGAUGACUUCCUUGCAGCUCCCGGUUCCAAGUUUGGAUGUGCUCCAAAUAAAAAAGACUGAUAAUCCUUAGUACUAACUGAGCAACGUUCACAUUAAAUUGCCUUCCCCACCCAUUUUUGUGCCUCAAUCAAAUAAGAAAAUUAUUCUUGCCAUUCUAGUCAUCAAAAGUGUCACUAGAGCAAAAAAUUGAGGAUAAUCAAGAAGCCAGGAUCUGAAAGACUUCCUUAAAGGUACCUCAGGUCCUCUAUUCACUCUCCAUUUGUUGUAUCUGUAAAGAGCCAGGCUUAUGGGAGGACACAUGUGAGGGUUUCCCUGUAUGAUAUGGUUUCAGGGACACAAUGAUCACCUGCUCUUUGACCUCAAUAUUGCAUUAUUUAUUGAUGAUUCCUAAAGAAGUUAAUUAAUUUCUUUUUACAAAUAAAGAUAAGGCCUUAAAUGCCUAUUUCAGUGAAAAGGUCACAUAUUGAUAUGAAUUCACAUCAUGGGGGUGCUCGUGCAUCUUAACUCUAAUUGAGCUGGCUCCACUGAGCAUCUACCCAUGAAGGGGCAGCAAGAAGACCCAGCCAAAAUGCUGCCCUAGGGCGCACACACACUACCAGAGGGAACAGAUGCAGCUAAGCACAUCACCAAUAAAUGCAGGCUGUAAUAUGUUCUCUGAUAGAGGAUCAAAAUGAUCAGUGGGUAGAGAGGAAAGACAGAUGCAUGCUGACUUGGGGGAUUUGGGGGUAUUUCCUUGAGCUGCACCGUGUCAUUGGAACAACUGGGAGGAUGGUGGUUCCUCUAAUAACAUAAGGAGCACAGAAGAUGGAUCAGACUGGGGAGGAAGACAGUAAGUUCAGUUUGGUGUAUGUUAGUUUAAAGUGACAGUAUGACACCCAGGUGACAAUGUUUCAGUCUAGGGCUGAGAGGGAUGUCCAGGCCUGAAGCUUCGGGAGUGAAUGAGCUCGCACAGGGAGAAAGAAAAGCACAAAAGGAAGAGAUGCUUUAGGUAAACCCUUCAGAACAGGACACACCAACUGUUCUCUGAUUCCUACUUUUCAAAAAUGGUAGAAGUCCUCUGAAUAGUGUUUAGUAGAUUAAAGCAGUAAAGCUGUAAACAUGCUUAUACAGAAUUUGUAGAUGGAGAGCAAGCUUUCCGCAUUCUUGUUGCCCUAACACCUGGGUCCUGACGGGCUCUCUGCAUCCUGCCUCUGUGUCUUUGCUCCUACAGCUCCUGUGCCCAGAUGUUGUUCCCACACUUAAUGGUAAGUAAUCACUACUCAAACUUGAAGGCUUCCGCAGUGUCAUCUCCUUUAUGAAACUUGUCCUGAUUCUUCCAGCAGCCUGCCCAAAUAAAACUGACCAUGCUCUCCUUUCCUCAGGUAGGAUACAGUGAGAAAAACUUGAUAGAACUAUUUUGUUUAUGUAUCUGGCUCUCUUGUACUCUUAUAGGAUUCCAGAAGGCGGAGGACAGAUCUAAUACCUCUGAGUGUUCCCAAUGCACGCACACAAAAUACUGCUGAAUUUCUGAAUGGAUAACUGAAUGCAUACAUGAAUGAAUGAAUGGUCGUGGAAUUAUGAAAAUCUAGACAGCUUACAGACCAUGUUAAAAGGUAGACAGGUGGGGAUGCAGAAGUAGGAGUACAUGGAACACAUGGAGGUUUUAAAAUAUUACAAGAUACGAAAAACCCAGAUUUACCUUCACUUAAUACUCCUAAAGACACAAUCUCCCCCGGUGGUGAGCCAUGGUACCAGUAUUUCAAUGUAGUGGCUAUGCUGUGUGCUGCUAAGAUGCCUCCAAAUUGUCUUCCUGUGGUGGUCAACUUUUUAAGAGUUGCCACAAAUUCCUGGUUUAUCCACUCACUAUAAGGAGAAAAAGAAACAAUUUUACAAUGGAAAUGAAAAAGAAUGUUCUUUGGGUCAACGGAUCUAACUAUAAGAAAGCAUCUCUCCAAAAUAGAAAUAUGACUUUUUGUGACCCUUCCUCAAGCUUCUUUAACCCCAUUAAAAAGCCAGCUGAAAAGUGAUGAGAUAUAGCAGAAGGGAGUCCCAAAGUUUCCUACUAAGCAUCUGAUAAUAUAAAUAUGGCACACAGAAAAGUGGUCAAAGACUGCAAGACAAUUACUUUUAUUACAAGGAAUUUAUUCUAUGUAGAUGCUAUUUUGGAACCAGUGGUAUCCUUCAUUUUAAAUAAAAUAAUAUCAUAAAAUGUUAAAUCAUUCACAUUGAGAAACAGGGAACUAAUUAAGUUUUUAUAAUCUGAAAUUUAAACUCAGGGACUAGCCCACCUGGGCUAGAACAAACACUAAAUGGCUUCCCCUGAUGAGGCAGCGCGAUUCAGCUCCACGAGACAUGGCCCUUACGUGGCAGCCAGCACACAGGCACCAGGCUCCAAGAGGGUAGACCCAGGACACACAGUUUCUAGGCAUGGAUGAAGUGCCUAUGUUCUGAGGAAGGGAAGGUGAGUAGGGACGACGGAAGGAAAUGCUACAACAGAAUGUACUGCAAAGUUUAGAAAAAUGCUUCCAGGCCCUCUUCUGCCUCAUCAUAAUGGUACCGUUGACUGUGACAGGUGCAGUUCUAAGUGCUUUGCAUAUGUGAAUCCAAUUUCAUCUUCCCGACAACCCUAUAAGGCCCAUACUAUGUUAUCAUUUCGACUUUGCAGAUGAAAAACUUGAGGCACAGAGAGGUUAAGGAACUUCUCUGAAGUUGCACAGAGAAUAAUUGUCUACGUGAGAAUUCCAACCUAGGGGCUUGGUUCUAGACACUAUGGUCCUCACCACUUCUUGAUUCUGCCUCUUCUGGGACCAAGCACUCAGCAUGGCCUGGGCCUGCUCAAGAUCCUAAUCCCUUAUUCCCAAAAGUGCUGCAACUGAUUUCAACUUGUAUAAAUAUCUCUGUCUUUAUGUUAAAUAAGACUCACUUUACAUAUGCUUGCUUUAGAGAUAAUCUUAAUGGAAUAUAUGAGCUGCUUUAAGGAUAAUCUGAAAUAAAAAAAUGCAUAAUUUCAAAAUCAAAUAAAUUGGAGGUGGGGAUUAGCUAGUUGAAAUUCUGUGAAAUUAGCCAUUUGUUCAACAGAGAGUAUAAAUAAAGAUGAAUGUGAACAAUGUUAAAUUAUUUUCGUACAAAGAUUUGUAAGAUGAUUUAAGAUUACAAAAACUAUUUUACACUUAUUCAACUUUGUUAGCAUACUUCACUGAAAAAUUUACUGUACCUAUCAAAAAUCAAGCUUAAAACAGGGCGUGAAUAGUGAGGAAGUCCCCAAAUAGCACUCUCAUAUCCGUAAACUUUGGCUUUUCUCAGAUCAACAUAGUUAUUUCCAGUAAUAUUACCCCAAAUUAUCACAUCUUUGAUGCCUGUGAAUAAAAACAAUAGAAAAUUAAUGUACCAAUGGGUGUUAAGAUUAAAAACUUGCCGGCAAACUA